ensembl:snRNA U6 U6 spliceosomal RNA
GUGCUGGCUAUGGCAGCAUAUGUACGAAAAUUGGAAUGAUACAGAGAUUAGCAUGGCUCCUGUGCAAGGAUGACACCAAUUCCAAAGCAUUCCAUAUAAGAAAU